GACGAACGCUGGCGGCGUGCUUAACACAUGCAAGUCGAACGGUGAAGCGCUUGCCUUUUUGGUGGGUGUGGAUGAGUGGCGAACGGGUGAGUAACACGUGAGUAACCUGCCCCCUUCUUCUGGAUAACCUCAUGAAAGUGGGGCUAAUACGGGGUAUUCCGGGUCUGUCGCAUGGCGGGUUUGGGAAAGAUUGCGCCUUUGGGUGUGUUCGGUGGGGGUUGGGCUCGCGGCCUAUCAGCUUGUUGGGGGGGGGAUGGCCUACCAAGGCGGUGACGGGUAGCCGGCCUGGGAGGGUGGACGGCCACACUGGGACGGAGACACGGCCCAGACGCCUGCGGGAGGCAGCGGUGGGGAAGAUUGCACAAUGGGCGCAAGCCUGAUGCAGCGACGCCGCGUGAGGGAUGGAGGCCUUCGGGUUGUGAACCUCUUUCGCCAGUGAAGCAGGCCUGCUCCUGUGUGGGUGGGUUGACGGUAGCUGGAUAAGAAGCGCCGGCUAACUACGUG
rnacentral:rRNA from 1 species